rnacentral:rRNA from 1 species
AUACGGAGGGAGCAAGCGUUAAUCGGAAUUACUGGGCGUAAAGCGUACGUAGGCGGUUGGUUAAGUUAGAUGUGAAAGCCCCGGGCUUAACCUGGGAACUGCAUUUAAAACUGGCGAACUAGAGUUGAGUAGAGGGGAGUGGAAUUUCAGGUGUAGCGGUGAAAUGCGUAGAGAUCUGAAGGAACACCAGUGGCGAAGGCGACUCCCUGGACUCGAACUGACGCUGAGGUACGAAAGCGUGGGUAGCAAACGGGAUUAGAAACCCUAGUAGUCC